rnacentral:rRNA from 1 species
UACAGAGGGUGCGAGCGUUAAUCGGAAUUACUGGGCGUAAAGCGCACGUAGGUGGCUUGGCAAGUCGGGUGUGAAAUCCCCGGGCUCAACCUGGGAACUGCAUCCGAGACUGCCUUGCUAGAGUAUGGGAGAGGGAAGUGGAAUUUCCGGUGUAGCGGUGAAAUGCGUAGAUAUCGGAAGGAACAUCAGUGGCGAAGGCGACUUCCUGGACCAAUACUGACACUCAGGUGCGAAAGCGUGGGGAGCAAACAGG